GCCCGGCUAGCUCAACUGGCAGAGCAGCUGACUCUUAAUCAGCGGGUUCGGGGUUCGAGUCCCUGGUCGGGCA
rnacentral:tRNA from 1 species